UUUUAAAGCUUAGCUUCCAGUUGUAUUAGCAAUUGGGUCGCUUACAAUAUUACUGGGUUUAGAUCUAUCUUGCUGUCAAACUGCCUUUAGAUGUACUCAUGAAAGUCCAUAUAAAAAAAUGGAAUGCUGUAGCUGCCUGGACUUGGAAGGUUGAAGGCGAGGACACUUGUAGUAUCUGUCAAAAUAAGUAUGAUUACUGUUGUUCCGGAUGUAAAAAGCCUGGUGAUGGCUGUCCUUUAGUCUGGGGUGACUGUAGCCACUGUUUUCACUUGCACUGCAUUUUGCGUUGGGUUGAUGAAGAUCCCUCGCACCCUACGAACCAGUCUUGUCCAAUGUGCCGACAGCCUUGGAACAUUCAAAACGAAUAGCUUGCCUUCAUCACAUAUUUUGUUGGUAGUCAAAUUCUAGCAUGUAAAUACAUAUUUCUGCUUGUUUUUAAAACAUAUAGAUAAAAAUGUUACGUACUUUA